rnacentral:rRNA from 1 species
GAUGAACGCUAGCGGCAGGCCUAACACAUGCAAGUCGAGGGGUAGAAUUAGCUUGCUAAUUUUGAGACCGGCGCACGGGUGCGUAACGCGUAUGCAAUCUGCCUUGUACUGAGGGAUAGCCCAGAGAAAUUUGGAUUAAUACCUCAUAGUAUUAUGAUGUGGCAUCACAUUAUAAUUAAAGUUCCAACGGUACAAGAUGAGCAUGCGUCCCAUUAGUUAGUUGGUAAGGUAACGGCUUACCAAGACGAUGAUGGGUAGGGGUCCUGAGAGGGAGAUCCCCCACACUGGUACUGAGAUACGGACCAGACUCCUACGGGAGGUAGCAGUGAGGAAUAUUGUCAAUGGGCGCAAGCCUGAACCAGCCAUGCCGCGUGCAGGAUGACGGUCCUAUGGAUUGUAAAACUGCUUUUAUACGGGAAGAAACACUGCUACGUGUAGCAGCUUGACGGUACCGUAAGAAUAAGGAUCGGCUAACUCCGUGCCGGCAGCCGCGGUAAUACGGAGGAU